CUAAUACUCCCUCCGUUCCAAAUUACUUGUCGCAUGUAUGAAUGUAUCUAGAUGCAUUUUAGUUCUAGAUACAUCCAUUUUCUGCAACGAGUAAUUUGGAACGGAGGGAGUACCAG
rfam:Triticum urartu cultivar G1812 contig1145982, whole genome shotgun sequence.